CAUCACACCGGCACAGGCACUGGGGCUGUGGGAGCAGCGAGGACUUGGCAGGGAAAGCGAGCAGCAAAGGAGUGACCGUCCUCCUCAGCAGCUCAUUGGGGUGCUACGUGGGGUGCAGAAAAACAUGCUUGGCAGCAGCUCCUGGCUUGGAGAGAGUAAACGUGUCUGAAAGUGUCCAAAUCUGUCUGCAUAGCAGGGGGAGAAUGAAAGUGAAGUUUUCUCCUUCAACAGAACCCCGGAGAUGGCUUGACUUGGUGACUCUUCAGAGGUAGACAACUGUGUAUGCUGGUGGCCUUCCCCUGCAGGAGUGGAAGGGGAGGAAGAAGACGGGAACAGGGCUGCUAAGGAGACACAGGAAGGUGCCAGGCUCUUUCUCAGGAGUGGUCAUACAAUGUGUGGCUUUCCUGGCACUUCUCAUCCUGCCUUUGCAAGUGGGGUCAAGCCUCUGCAUUUCUUUACCUGUAAUUUUUUGCUGUGGUUCACAAUACCUUGUCAGAAAAACCUGUACUAAUUUUUCACAUGUCUGGACUACAUGUUCCUGCC